rnacentral:snRNA from 1 species
ACAAAUACAAGUUUGUUUGUUUGUUUUUUUAAAGAAUAAGCUGUAUCCAUUGCACUUCAGAAGUGCUGACCCCUAUGAUUUCCUCAAAUGCGGGAAACUCAACUGAGUGAUUUGUGGUAGUGGGGGACUGUAUUCACACUCUCCCCUG